AGUUGUGCUAUCUGUCACCCCAUUGAUCACAAGGGUUUAUUCAGCUGAUCUGGCUGGCUAGACAAGUCUCCUCUUCCUCCCUCAAUGUACCAUGUAAGUCCUUUCCCAUAACUACCCACUCUGUCUGUUGAAGAGCACAACCACCCCUAGUAGAUGAGGACCAUUCCUCAGUCAAAGAUAUACAAGUCACUACUCCCCUGCUAAAACCUUCAAACAAGCUAUCAGGAGGUUGGGCUUGUAUUCUCUUUCCUCAAAUCUUCAUAGGCAUAUGACAGCUUUGG
rnacentral:snRNA from 1 species